CUUUUUUAUUAUAAUGCCUCUGUUUCUUAAAAUUUUUUGUUUAAUGGAAGGUAUUUGCCACCGGUUUAAGCAUAGGACUACCCUGUUUGCUUUCGUCUGAAGUCUUCCUCCUUUCCCCACAAGAGGGGAAGGCAGCUCCAGAAGCCUGACUCUGAUUGUGAUAUAACUUGGCAGUGUCACUAUUAAUGAGCAGGGUCACCCUUGUGCCAGACAGCUGGGUGAGAAGAAGGACAAGAAAUGGCAGUCGGAGCUGGUUUCAAUUUGAGAGAUUCUCCUCAGGAGAGAACUUGACGUGUGCCACUCUGAGUUCUUGCUGACGAAACAGUCCUAUUGCGUUUGUCACCAUCGCUGUCAAGAUUCACACAAGGUCCACACUGAGACCAGCCCAAAAUGCCGAACAGAAUGCACAUAGAAAGGGUAGUCAAGCUGGGGAAAAAGACAACGUUAUUAUGAUUUUAUAAAUAAAAUGCUUGAAUAUUGUGGAUAUUCU
rnacentral:lncRNA from 1 species